rnacentral:lncRNA from 1 species
GGGGUUGUUCUCUGGUGGGCAGGGGCGGGGGUCACAAGGUGCUCAGUGGGGGAGCUUCUGAGCCAGGAGAAGGAAAUUCACAGGGUUAAUCACUCAGUUAAGGUGGGGCAAGAACAAAUCACCAUGGUGGAAUGUCAUCAGUUAAGGCGGGGCAGGGCCUUUUCAGUUCUUUUGUGAUUCUUCAGUUACUUCAGGCCAUCUGGGCGUAUACGUGCAAGUCACAGGGGAUGCGAUGGCUUGGCUUGGGCUCAGAGGCCUGACAUUCCUGCCUUCUUAUAUUAAUAAGAAAAAUAAAACAAAAUUGUGUUGAAGUGUUGGGGCGGUGAAAAUUUUUGGGGGGUGGUAUGGAGAGAGAAUGGGCGAUGUUUCUCAGGGCUGCUUCAAGCGGGAUUAGGGGCGGCGUGGGAACCUAGAGUGGGAGAGAUUAAGCUGAAGGGAGGUCUUGUGGUAAGGGGUGACAUUGAGGGGGUUGUUAGAAGAAACAUUUGUCAUACAGAAAGAUUGGUGAUGGCCUGGAUACGGUUUUGUAUGAACUGAAAAACUAAAUGGAAUAAGAGAAGGAGAAAAACAGGUAUAAAAGGACUAAGAAUUGGGAGGAUCUAGGACAUCUAAUUAGAGAAUGCCUAAGGAGGUUCAGCAUAGUCCUUCCAGCGAAGAUUAUUUAUUUACUUCAAGAGUUAAGAGUGGCAGUUUGGGGAUAGCAUGAGGAGAUAUCAGCCAUGAUGGCUUGGAGAAACAGUGUAAACUGGCAGUGUAAACAAGAGCAGGGCAUGUAUGAGUAGUUGAGAACGGAGAAUAGGAGUAUGACUAGACGGAAAAUAGUAGGGAUGACAAGUUUUUUUGGGGGCACAGUCUAAGUUGGUCUGGUGUCUGGGAUGAGACUGGGGCCUAAUAAAAAGGAGCUUAAAUGGACUGUACCUUGUAGCAUUCUGAGGACAGGUCUGACUUCUGAGAAGGGAAAGUGGUAAAAGUAUUGUCCAGUUCUUUUUAAGUUGGUGGCUGAGCUUGGUGAGGUGUGUUUUUAAAAGACCUUUAGUCCGUUCUACUUUUCUUGAAGACAGAGGACUAUAAGGGAUAUAAACUGAAAAACUGCUUGGCUAAUUUGACUAAUAAAGCCUGGUCUGUUAUCAGACUGUAUAGAGGUGGGAAGGCUAAACUGAGGAAUUAUGUCUGACAGAAGGGAAGAAAUGACUGCGGUGGCCUUCUCAGACCCUGUAGGAAAGGCCUCUACCUAUCUAGUGAAAAUGUCUACUUAGACUAAGAGGUAUUUUAGUUUUUGUGACUCGGGGCAUGUGGAGUAAAGCUAAUUUGCCAGUCCUGGGCGGGGGCAAAUCCUCGAGCUUGAUGUGUAGGGAAGGGAGGGGCCUGAAUGAUCCUUGAGGAGUAGCAGAAUAGCAGAUAGAAUAGCAGAUGGAACACUGAGAAGUUAUUUCCUUGAGGAUAGAUUUCUACAAUGGAAAGGAAAUGAGAGGUUCUAAGAGAUGGGCUAGUGGCUUGUAAUAUGGGGAAAUGGGGUGAAUGUCAGGUGGAUCAGAGAGAUGCAGUCAUGGGGAUCAGGUGUGGUAUCAGGAAUAAUGUGGGAGGCCAGAUUGAAGUCUGGGCCAGGAACAAUGGUAAUUGUGGGACUUAACAAAGAAUGAGUACAGCUGAAGGAGCCGGGGAGCAGAAAGUAUAUGCGUCAGGUAUGAGGAAGAAAAUAGAUUUUGGAAGUUAUGAGAAAUGUAGAGAGUGAGUUGAACAUAGUUUGUGAUUUUUAGGGCCUCUAAAAUUAUUAAAGCAGCGGCAGCUGCUGCAUGCAGACAUGAGGGCUAGGCUAAAACAGUAAGGUCAAGUUGUUUGGACAGAAAGGCUACAGGGUGGGGUCCUGGCUCUUGUGUAAGAAUUCUGACCGCACUAACCAUGCCUAGGAAGGAAAGGAGUUGUUGUUUUGUAAGGGAUUGAGGUUUGGGAGAUUAAUCAGACACCAUCAGCAGGGAGAGCACCUGUGUUUUUGUGAAGAAUUAUGCCGAGGGCUUCUGAGGCGAUCAGGCAGCGUCAGUCUUCAGCCACUAAGCCAAGAAGGAGUCAGUCAGAGAGCCUUGGGCCAGAGUUCCAGGGGCGCUGGGAGUGGCUGCCAGGUGAGUUGAACAGUCCGAUUUCCAGUGGGGUCCCGCACAGAUGGGACAUGGCUUAGGAGGAAUCCCUGGGCUGCAGGCAUUCCUUGCCCUGGUGGUCAGAUUUCUGGCACUUGCAGCAAGCUCCUGGGGGAGGAGGUUCUGGAGGAAUGUCUGGCCACUGCGGUUCAGGCAUUUGGAAGUUGUUGUGUGCUGGAGAUGUGGCUGGGGUUUGUCUCACAGUGGAGGCAAGGAAUUGCAACUUCCUUUUUUUUAUUAUUGUACACCUUGAAGGUGAGGUUAAUUAAGUCCUGUUGUGGGGUUUGAGGGCCAGAUUCUAAUUUUUGGAGUUUUAUUUAAUGUCGGGAGCAGAUUGGGUAAUAAAAUGUGUAUUGAGAAUAAGAUGGCCUUUUGACCUUUUAGGGUCUAGGGCUGUAAAGCAUCUCAGGGUUGCUGCCGAACGAGACAUGAACUGGGCUGGGUUUUUAUAUUUGAUGAAAAAGAGCCUAAACGCUUCUGAUUUGGGAUAAAGAAAAAGGAGCAUUAACCUUGACUAUGCCUUUGGCUCCAGCCACCUUUUUAAGAGUAAAUUGCUGGGCAGGUGGGGGAGGGCUAGUCACAGAACGAAACUGUAAGCCAGACCAGGUGUGAGGAGGGGAGGCGAUAAAAAGAUUACAGGGUGGAGGAGCGGAGGCUGAGGAAGAAUUGGGACCUAGCUUGGCCUGGCAAGGAGGGGAGAGGUCAGAUGGGUCUGUAGAAAAGGAAGAUUAGAAAGACUCAGUGACGCUUGGGGUUGGGACUGAGGGGACAGGCGGGAGGGAAAGAAGGAAGAUUCAGAAUGAGUUGCACUGGGCACAGAGACUAGGAAGGGACUGAUGUGUAAAAGAAUGCCUGGAUGUCAGGCACCUCAGACCAUUUGCCCAUUUUAUGACAAGAAUUAUUUAGAUCUUGUAGGAUGGAAAAAUUGAAAGUGCCGUUUUCCGGCUAUUUGGAACUACUGUAGAGUUUGUAUUGGGGUCAAGAGGCAUUGCAGAAGAAAAUGAGACACUUAGAUUUUAGGUCAGGUGAGAGUUGAAGAGGUUUUAAGUUCUUAAGAAUACAGGCUAAGGGAGAAGAAGGAGGAAUGGAAGGUGGAAGCUUGCCCAUAGUGAAGGAGGCAAGCCCAGAGAAAAGAGUAGAGACACGGAGAAGGGGUGGGGGUUUCUUGCCCUCCAGAAAAGCAGAGAAAGGGUUGGGGCACAGAAAUAAGGGAUUGGGGCACAGAGAUAAGAGGUCAGGGUGUGGAAAUAAGGGAUUGGGGGUUCUUGCCCCCUAGAAAAGUGGGAAGGGGGGUUGGGGCAUGGAAAUAAGGGAUUGGGGCACAGAGAUAAGAGGUUGGGGUGUGGAAAUAAGGGAUUGGGUCACAGAAAUAAGAGGUCGGGGUGUGGAAAUAAGGGAUUGGGGGUUCUUGCCCCCUAGAAAAGCGGGACUUGCCACUAAGGGUGAAGGAGAAGGGGUUGAGGGGUACUUUCCCCUCCCCCAGAAAAGUGGGACUUGCCACUAAGGGUGAAGGAGAAGGGGUUGAGGGGUUCUUGCCCCUGCCCCAGAAAAUCAGAGAAGGGGUAGAGACAAGAAGAGAAGGGGUUGGGGUACUUGCCCCUUCCCCAGAAAAGCAGGGAAGGGGUAGAGACACAGAGAGAAGGGGUUGGGGUACUUGCCCCUUCCCCAGAAAAGCAGAGAACGGGUAGAGACACAGAGAGAAGGGGUUGGGGUACUUUCCCCUUCCCCAGAAAAGCGGGACUUGCCGCUAAGGGUGAAGGACCAAGGCAGGCAUCCCUGCAUGGUCUGACACCCUUGAAACGUGGGUGAAUAAUCAGAGAGGUGUCCCUGCAAUGAUUAAACAGCAAGGGAAGGCUGCCUUCCCAGUCCGUGACCAGCGCUGGAGUUUUGGGUCCACAGAUAAAACGUGUCUCCUUUGUCUCUACCAGAAAAUGAAAGGAAUUGAAACUAAGAGAAGGGAGAGAUUGAAGUGUGGCGCCAAGAUUGAAAGGAGAAAGAGGUUGAGGGAUAGUGAGGGAGGUUGGAGAAGAGAGUAAAAAGAGGCGGCUUACUGGAUUUAAAAUUGGUGAGAUGUUUCUUGGGCUGGUUGGUCUGAGGACCUAAGGUCGUAGGUGGAUCUUUCUCAUGGAGCAAAGAGCAGGAGGACGGGGGAUUGAUCUCCUAAGGGAGGUCCCCCGAUCCGAGCCACGGCAUCAAAGUUCACUCGAGUCCAUGUGAAGAGACACCAAACAGGCUUUGUGUGAGCAACAUGGCUGUUUAUUUCACCUGGGGGCAGGCGGGCUGAGUCCGAAAAGAGAGUCAG